rnacentral:tRNA from 1 species
AAUGAAGUGCCUGACAAAAGGAUUACAGUGAUAGAGUAAAUUAUGUAAAAUUACUUACCUUCAUUA